UCCCACCCCUAUUCAGUGGUAUCUUCUCCUGCCCAAAGAUAUACCUCUGCAACAUAACUUAAGGCUAAUAGUCGCAUCCUGUUCUGAAAAAGAGGAAACACUUGAAAUACCAUUCAGAGCUGAAAUUAAAUUUCCCCCAGAAGACUCAGGGCAUUCAAAAGCCAACACCAAAUAUGAACUAAAGUGGAUAAUCUUUAAGGACCUUUAUACCAACAGCAUUUUUUACCAAGCAUCAGACUGCCCUUGCUAUUAAUGGGGCCCCAACAAAGUGCUGUAUUUCUGCUGAAUGGACUCUGACCUAACUCCAAAUGUCUGACUUCCCACAGCAUGUACUUCAAUUCUUCUAAAUAAAGUUCUGUUCAGAAAUUCUA